rnacentral:rRNA from 1 species
UACAGAGGGUGCAAGCGUUAAUCGGAAUUACUGGGCGUAAAGCGCGCGUAGGCGGUUUGUUAAGUUGAAUGUGAAAUCCCCGGGCUCAACCUGGGAACUGCAUGCAAAACUGGCAAGCUAGAGUAUGGUAGAGGGUGGUGGAAUUUCCUGUGUAGCGGUGAAAUGCGCAGAUAUCAGGAAGAACACCAAUGGCGAAGGCAGCUCUCUGGGACGGUACUGACACUGAGACGCGAAAGCGUGGGGAGCGAACAGG